GGUUGUGGCUCAGUGGUAGAGCACUUGCCUAGCAUUGCGUAGGGCACUGGGUUAGAUCCCCAGCACCA
rnacentral:tRNA from 1 species